rnacentral:lncRNA from 1 species
GCAUGCUGGCAUGCCCCAGCUUGCCUGUGUUACAGCUUGUACCUACGUUCAGCAGUUCCCAAGCUCCUGUACCACGCCCAAGAAGAAUGAAGAUAUGCUGGACAUUGAACGGUGAGGAGGGUGGAGAAGAAUUUUAUUGAGUGAUAAAACAGCUUUCAGCUGAGAGGGGACAUGGGGGUGGUCCCCCUACCCAAAGGAUGCUGCAUGGAACAUCUCCAGCCCCAACCUGGAGGAGGACAAGAGGAGAGGCUGUCAAAGCGAAGACAAUUCUGCCUGUUGGCAGACGCCCUGGCCCCAGUUUGUAUCUUGCCUCUUCAGUCAUCACUGCUAGGAUGUUUGGCCAUGAGAAUAGGAAACGUCAGUGAGUCCCGCUACGAAGCCACUUGAGAAUCAUGAACCCAUGGCCAGGAAAGGAUAAAUUGUGGGGCUUAAGCUAGAAUUCCAACAAGCUCCAGGAAGGUCUGUCCCAAGGCUCCUGUUCUAGCAUCAGUAGUUGGCUCUGCUUUCAGGGGAAAAUGCUGUGGAUGACACUCUUCCUUGUGGCUUUGGGGCAUGAAGUGCCUGUCGGCUCCUCCAGGUCCUGGGAAGGAUUCCCCCACCACCCCUUAGGGGAUCCUCCUGCCUGACACUGAUCUUGAAACCCGACUUAUCUAAGACCUUAUUCUUGCAUGAAGUUGCCUGAUAUAAACUCUUCUUACUUCCCCCACCCCCACAUUCUUAGACUUAUUUCAAAGUUGUAAUCAUUACUUAUUUUAGAAUAAAAGUUAGUGCAGCUAAGA